UUUAAACCCUAAAAAUGAUUUUACUAUCUUGUAUCA
rnacentral:tRNA from 1 species